rnacentral:rRNA from 1 species
UACGUAGGGUGCGAGCGUUGUCCGGAAUUAUUGGGCGUAAAGAGCUUGUAGGUGGUUUGUCGCGUCUGCUGUGAAAAUCCGAGGCUCAACCUCGGACUUGCAGUGGGUACGGGCAGACUAGAGUGUGGUAGGGGAGACUGGAAUUCCUGGUGUAGCGGUGGAAUGCGCAGAUAUCAGGAGGAACACCGAUGGCGAAAGGCAGGUCUC